AUGGAAAGCACUUUGAAAAGAGGGUGAAAAGCACCUGAAACCGCCAUGGGGGAAGCGGAUUGCAUCAGUGUUUGCUUGUAUCUGUUCAGCUAUCAAAUUGGUAGUGUAUUCAGUUACUUGCUGUGUUGGCAUGGCUGCUUUGGCUUUGGAUUAUGCAAGGCUAAGUGGUGAGGGCUCCUUUCUAGUUGAGGAUGUCAACAAAAUGAUGCGACCCGACCCGUCUUGAAACACGGACCAAGGAGUCUAGCACUACUGCAAGUCGAAGGGUUUAAAAACUCAUGGGCGAAGUGAAAGCGAAUAUUAGGAGAUCUGAAACAGAUUAGGGAGGUGUUGCGACUUUGUCAAAAUAUCCUACCCAGAGCAGUUGUGCUGGGACCCGAAAGAUGGUGAACUAUGCCGGAAUAGGGCAAAGCCAGAGGAAACUCUGGUGGAGGCUCGUAGCGAUGCUGACGUGCAAAUCGCUCGUCGAAUUUGGGUAUAGGGGCGAAAGACUAAUCGAACCAUCUAGUAGCUGGUUCCCUCCGAAGUUUCUCUCAGGAUAGCGGGCCGACGAUGUGGGUUGUUUUGUGU
rnacentral:rRNA from 1 species